CGCCGGAGCCCGCCGGGGCCUCUAGGGCCUCCCCAGCCACGGCCCGGGCCGGCGAAGAGGGAGGGGCAGAGAGCCGCCGCGGUCCCGCUCUCCCGGGGAGAGCCUGGCUGGGAGUCAGAGCUCUCACGGUAACGGAUAGGGAAGCUGAGUUCCGAGCCUUGACCAAGGCAGCACAGCCCACCCUGAGAAGUGGGGGACUGGAAUUCAGGACGCUCGGCCCCAGGCCCGUGGUUUCCCACAGACUUGCAGGUGUUAAUCCUCCCGCACCCCCUGGUUUCAGGGAGGCAGAGGAACUCACUCAGCCUGAAAAUUUCAGAUAUUUCAUAAGACCUAGAGCCACGUAAGAGUGCGUCCCUUUAAGACACAUGGAAGAAGUCAUGCAAGGCCACACGGGCUUCACCGUGUUGAAUCCUGACCAGACUGUCAGGCUCGUCUCAAACUCCUGGUCUCAAGCCAUCCACCCGCCUCAGCUUCCCAAAGUGUUGGGAUUACAGGAGUAAGCCACCGCACCCGGCCCCUGUUGUUGUCUUUUCUUCUUUAAUUGACAAAUAAAAUCUUAUAUAUUUAUAAUAUACAA
rnacentral:lncRNA from 10 species